rnacentral:lncRNA from 1 species
UUUCUUAUAGCGGACGGUUGCUUCUAAUUUACUGACAGCAAAGCAUGCACCGGAGUGAGCCUAGUGGCAACUGGCAAGAUGUUUGGCCGAAGAAGCCCGAUAUCCUCUAUAUAAGUUUCGUGUAACACUGUAAUUUUCAGAAGCAAAACUCAUAUAGUUUCUGUACUAAAUAGGAGAGUGUGUAACUUGCGCUAAAAAGAGG